CAACACGAUGCCUCCGUCCGCUCCCGUGGCCGGACAACCGCUUCCUCCGCUCGCCGCCCAUCAGUCGCUGGUGCCACCUCCCCUGUGUCCUCCUCCCUUCACCGGUGCCACCUUCCCCGUCGCUCGUCGUCAACUUAAAUUGGAGGAAAAGUGAAACAGAGGAAGGCUGAAUUCCAGGAGCCUGGAGCAAUGAUCAGCUGGAAGAGAAGGGAGCAACAUCUGAAGAAUACAGGAGGGAGAUCAACAAGAAACAUACUUCAAGCGCUGAAAGUGCCUGCUGAACAUUAGAGCUUUAAACUUGUACUUUUGUUCCUGGAACUUUAGCUGUAAUGCCUGGUGUUUUUGUUGAUGUCUGCUCUCAGUUUGUGCUAGUGCUAGUGAUGGGAUGGCAUCACAAACUACCUGUUCUGAAAGCUGCACAUUAUGCAUGCUAGUCGUUGUUUUUCAGGCUCGAAAAUACUCUCUUCGUCCCAAAAAAAAAAGCCAACCUAAGUACAGAUGGGACAUGUCUAGAUUUGUUGUACUAUGUAAUGUCUCAUUGGUACCUAAGUUGGCUCUUUUGAGACGGAGGGAGUAUGACAUUAACUGGUACAUCAUUUAUGAA